rnacentral:rRNA from 1 species
GACGAACGCUGGCGGCGUGCUUAACACAUGCAAGUCGAACGGAAAGGCCCUGCUUUUGUGGGGUGCUCGAGUGGCGAACGGGUGAGUAACACGUGAGUAACCUGCCCUUGACUUUGGGAUAACUUCAGGAAACUGGGGCUAAUACCGGAUAGGAGCUCCUGUUGCAUGGUGGGGGUUGGAACGUUUCGGCGGUUGGGGAUGGACUCGCGGCUUAUGAGCUGGUUGGUGGGGUAGUGGCGUACCAAGGCUUUGACGGGUAGCCGGCCUGAGAGGGUGACCGGCCACAUUGGGACUGAGAUACGGCCCAGACUCCUACGGGAGGCAGCAGUGGGGAAUAUUGCACAAUGGGCGGAAGCCUGAUGCAGCAACGCCGCGUGCGGGAUGACGGCCUUCGGGUUGUAAACCGCUUUCGCCUGUUACGAAGCGUGAGUGACGGUAAUGGGUAAAGAAGCACCGGCUAACUACGUG